CCUACGGGAGGCAGCAGUGGGGAAUAUUGGGCAAUGGGCGCAAGCCUGACCCUGCAACGCCGCGUGAAGGAAGAAGGCUUUCGGGUUGUAAACUUCUUUUCUCGGGGACGCAGAAAGUGACGGUACCUGAGGAAUAAGCCACGACUAACUACUUGCCAGCAGCAGCGGUAAUACUUAGGUGGCAAGCGUUAUCCGGAUUUACUGGGUGUAAAGGACGUGUAGGCGGGACUGCAAGUCAGAUGUGAAAACCACGGGCUCAACCUGUGGCCUGCAUUUGAAACUGUAGGUCUUGAGUACUGGAGAGGCAGACGGAAUUCCUAGUGUAGCGGUGAAAUGCGUAGAUAUUAGGAGGAACACCAGUGGCGAAGGCGGUCUGCUGGACAGCAACUGACGCUGAGGCGCGAAGGCGUGGGGAGCAAACAGGAUUAGAUACCCUUGUAGUC
rnacentral:rRNA from 1 species